GCAUGGGUUUGGAUUUAUGGCAGGCCGUUCCCCUGGGUCUCUCAUAGUAUUCUGUGCUAGAGCAACCCGUGGCCCUGUCUGUAGUAAGUGGGUCAACACAGUA
rnacentral:snoRNA from 1 species